rnacentral:rRNA from 1 species
CUGCGAAUGGCUCAUUAAAUCAGUUAUCGUUUAUUUGAUAGUACCUUACUACUUGGAUAACCGUGGUAAUUCUAGAGCUAAUACAUGCUAAAAACCCCAACUUCGGGAGGGGUGUAUUUAUUAGAUAAAAAACCAAUGCCCUUCGGGGCUCCUUGGUGAUUCAUAAUAACUUCUCAGAUCGCAUGGCCUUGCGCCGGCGACGGUUCAUUCAAAUUUCUGCCCUAUCAACUUUCGAUGGUAAGGUAUUGGCUUACCAUGGUUUCAACGGGUAACGGGGAAUUAGGGUUCGAUUCCGGAGAGGGAGCCUGAGAAACGGCUACCACAUCCAAGGAAGGCAGCAGGCGCGCAAAUUACCCAAUCCCGACACGGGGAGGUAGUGACAAUAAAUACUGAUACAGGGCUCUUUAGGGUCUUGUAAUUGGAAUGAGUACAAUUUAAACCUCUUAACGAGGAACAAUUGGAGGGCAAGUCUGGUGCCAGCAGCCGCGGUAAUUCCAGCUCCAAUAGCGUAUAUUAAAGUUGUUGCAGUUAAAAAGCUCGUAGUUGAACCUUUGGCCUGGCUGGCGGGUCCGCCUCACCGCGUGCACUCGUCCGGCCGGGCCUUUUCUUCUGGAGAACCGCAUGCCCUUCACUGGGUGUGUUGGGGACCAGGACUUUUACUUUGAAAAAAUUAGAGUGUUCAAAGCAGGCCUUUGCUCGAAUACGUUAGCAUGGAAUAAUAGAAUAGGACGUGCGGUCCUAUUUUGUUGGUUUCUAGGACCGCCGUAAUGAUUAAUAGGGACAGUCGGGGGCAUCAGUAUUCAAUUGUCAGAGGUGAAAUUCUUGGAUUUAUUGAAGACUAACUACUGCGAAAGCAUUUGCCAAGGAUGUUUUCAUUAAUCAGUGAACGAAAGUUAGGGGAUCGAAGACGAUCAGAUACCGUCGUAGUCUUAACCAUAAACUAUGCCGACUAGGGAUCGGGCGGUGUUACUAUUUUGACCCGCUCGGCACCUUACGAGAAAUCAAA